AUGGCUCAAUUUGCAAAAUACUGGAAUGGCAUUGAACUCAUAAAAGAUGAUGAGGAUUUCGAUGAAAGCAACAUAGAUGCCGACUGGAAACCAGAGUUCCUUUUUACAGCCAUAUUUGGUGAAACAAACCAAGUAAAGUGGGAGCAACUACCUGGAAGAAUCAAAGAAUUCAAACCAGAAACUUCAAAGUUCUUCUCCACCAAAAAAGCAAAGAAUCAGCUCGUUCCCAUGUAUCUCAAGGAAAAUCAACGGAAAAAGCUCUCAACAGCAAACAUGCAACAAGUAUUUUAUACGCAGAUAUUCAUUCCAAUGAAGAAGCAUGAUCGCUAUGUACUAUAUGUGCUGGACAAAUACAAACACAAAGUUCACAUUAUUGAUCCUCGAGAAACAACUCACGAGGAAUUUGAAAAAGAAAAGAUACACAUCGACAAAUUGACACCACAAGAAGCAAGCCGAGUACUUCAGGAAAAUGAAGAUGCCAAAGAAAAAAGAGAAAGACAGUUUCAGGAAUACCAUGUUCAUAAGUCGGCAAUCGUACCUAGGUUUAAAGAAGUCUUCAACAUCAUACUAGGACAAACAAUGAAUGCCAAGGGUACAAGAUGGCAGACUCAUACCGUGCAAGAUGUUCCAGUCGUAGAAAAGGGAGAAUCAACAUUUGCUAUUUUAAAGCUUGCAUUCCUCUACAAUGGUGAAAAGUUUGUCGAAGACCUGGAGGAUUUGACAGAUGAGGUUGAAGACUGGAGGGCAAAGGCAAUGUACAUUCUCUUAAAUAGCGAGAUGAAUCAAGUCAAAGCUAGUGAAAUGGGUGAAGAGAUUAGCAAGAUCUUAAGCAAAAACGAAGACUAA
rnacentral:rRNA from 1 species